rnacentral:miRNA from 1 species
UAAGGGCACAGGGAUUUCAGGC